AGAUUUUUCUUGGUCAAGAGUGCAACAUAUGAGCUGUGGAUAUGAACUUUACUGUCAGGUGAACAUUGAAAGUGACAAGAUUUCUGCACAGAGAUUUUUCUUGGUCAAGAGUGCAACAUAUGAGCUGUGGAUAUGAACUUUACUGUCAGGUGAACAUUGGAAGUGACAAGAUUUCUGCACAGAGAAUGAAUGAAGUUUAAGAAAGUUGAAAGGCACCCCUGAAGAACCUGAAUUAUUUUAGCCCUAUCCUAGAUUCAUUAAUUAAUAUAUUUUAGUGUGUGAUAACAUGUGUGAAAUGUGAUCAAUUAUGUGACAAUCUUCAAAACUUGGAUUUAUAAAGAGAAAUUUUUCUUUGUAAAGCUUAAGAAGUAAACUUUUUUGUCUGGUGGUGUUACUGUUUUGAUUUUGCAUGUUUUUCCGUGUGCUUUCACAAUUGAAAAGAUUUUGGCAGUUGCUUCUAAAUGUUUUUUGA